CCUACGGGAGGCAGCAGUGAGGAAUAUUGGUCAAUGGGCGCUAGCCUGAACCAGCCAAGUAGCGUGAAGGAUGACUGCCCUAUGGGUUGUAAACUUCUUUUAUAUGGGAAUAAAGUGCAGUAUGUAUACUGCUUUGCAUGUACCUUAUGAAUAAGGAUCGGCUAACUCCGUGCCAGCAGCCGCGGUAAUACGGAGGAUCCGAGCGUUAUCCGGAUUUAUUGGGUUUAAAGGGUGCGUAGGUGGGUUGUUAAGUCAGUUGUGAAAGUUUGCGGCUCAACCGUAAAAUUGCAGUUGAUACUGGCAGCCUUGAGUACAGUAGAGGUAGGCGGAAUUCGUGGUGUAGCGGUGAAAUGCUUAGAUAUCACGAAGAACUCCGAUUGCGAAGGCAGCCUGCUGGACUGUAACUGACGCUGAUGCUCGAAAGUGUGGGUAUCAAACAGGAUUAGAUACCCUGGUAGUC
rnacentral:rRNA from 1 species